UUCUCUGGGGAAAUCCACCAGAGACUACAUUUCCCAUAAGGCUCCUGGAGUUUAUGUCCGUAAGGCCUCAGGGAUUUCCUCUUCAUUUAGCGGAGAUCUGUAGUUUGAUGUUGUUUGGGCUUCAUGAAGAAUCAUAUUGAAAGGAAACGUCAUGCAGCUUGCAGGAUCUCAGUUCCCCAACCAGGGAUUGAACCCAGGCCACUGCAGUGAAAGCCCAGAAUCCUAGCCACUAGGCCACCAGGGAACUUCCUCUUCUUCCUUCUUUUGACCAUCGCACACCUCUUGCCACCUCGACCUACACAGCUGCUCUUCCAAGGGGACCUCACAUCAUGCCGACGACAGUAGAGCUCCCUACUGCCUCCUAAUGCAAGACUCCAGCCUCCAUAACUUUCCCUGAGUUCCAAAAGGUGGAUUUGAACAGUUGCUAAUCAAGGGAGGAGCAGCUAAGAAACCACCUGAGGCAGGAUUAAAGGGACCAGAGAAGCUCAUCAAGAUUCAGAGAAGACCACCUGAGACUGAGGGAGUGCAAGCCCUGUGCACACCCUGAUCUUGUCAGGACCCCACCUUUGAACCCCUGUUAUAAAGCCCUUAAUCAAAUCCUCUGGGGGAGAGACACAUUUGCCUGGCAAAGCAAUAAAGCUAUCCUCUUCUCCUUCACCCAAAAGUCUGUGAUUUGAUUCAGCAUCGCUGUACAGAGAGGCCGAGCUUUCGGCAACAGUUUUAGUUAGAUGGAGUACAUCAGAAUCAAAAGGACUGAUGUGGAAAAGAAAACUGUGUACAGAGGAUGGUACAGAGGAUGCUAAAGAGUCUAAUUGCAUGGAAUAGGGAAAAGACAAUUCUGGAUAAACAUGGGAUCACAUACAGAGGGAUAAGCCAUUUAAAUACCGUAAUACAGGUUAUACAGGAAUAACAUGUUUGUCAGAAGAGUGACAAGCAAAAUGAAAUAAUUCAGAUAAAUCUUGCAAGAACAUCUAAGAUAAACCAGAAAGUAGGCUGGAAUUGGCAAUAUAUAAGUAUUUACAUAAACAGCCGAGAUACCAUAGCAGGAGUUAAAAUUCAUUUGGUUUAUGCCAGUAGUAAUUGGGGUUCCAGGGAAUCUAAAACACAUUUAAUUGGUAUCUUAAUCAUUUGAAACAUACUUCUUUUAUGGACUCUGUGCAAAGGGAAGA